UUCGCCCGAGUACUACGAGCACCAGCUUAAAACUCAAAGGACUUGGCGGUGCUCCAGACCCCCCUAGAGGAGCCUGUUCUAGAACCGAUAAUCCCCGUUCAACCUCACCACCUCUUGUUUUUACCGCCUAUAUACCGCCGUCGUCAGCUUACCCUGCAAAGGUCAAACAGUAAGCAAAACGGGCAUAGCCCAAAACGUCAGGCCGAGGUGUAGCGUACGAGAUGGGAAGAAAUGGGCUACAUUUUCUACAAUAGAAUAUUUUACAAACGGCGCCCUGAAACUAGGCGCCCGAAGGUGGAUUUAGUAGUAAAAAGCAAA
rnacentral:rRNA from 1 species